UAACACUUUUGUGGAAAUGUAUAAUUGUGCAUAUAGCUAUUCAUCUCCUGUAUACACGAUUAUGCAUUCCAUAAAGUUGACA